rnacentral:lncRNA from 1 species
GGGUAUUUUCUAACUCUAUACAGCUCUGACAGACUUCUUGACAUUUUACAGUCCUGACGAACUUUUGGCACUAAAUGCCUUUGCGAGUUUUCGAGCAUCAAAUGCCUUAGAAUCUUUUUUGUGAAGUGGGACUAACACCCGGUAAGUCGGCCGGGCCUGUAUUCGCCUUCACGCCUAGCAUCAAAUGUCUUAGAAAUUCUCGUGAAGUGAGACUAUCACCCAAUAGGUCGGAUUGGCGUGUACCCGCCUUCAGGCCUAGCAUUAAAUGUCUUAGAAUCUUCUCAUGAAGUGAGAGUAAC